rnacentral:rRNA from 1 species
CCUACGGGGGGCAGCAGUGAGGAAUAUUGGUCAAUGGUCGGGAGACUGAACCAGCCAAGCCGCGUGAGGGAGGAAGGUACAGAGUAUCGUAAACCUCUUUUGUCAGGGAACAAAGACUGGGACGCGUCCCCGGAUGAGUGUACCUGAAGAAAAAGCAUCGGCUAACUCCGUGCCAGCAGCCGGGGUACUACGGGGGAUGCGGGCGUUAGCCGGAUUUAUUGGGUUUAAGGGGUGCGAAGGCGGACUGUUAAGUCAGCGGUCAAAGCCCGGGGCGAAACCCCGGCCCGCCGUUGAAACUGGCAGUCUGGAGUGGGAGAGAGGUAUGCGGAAUGCGCGGUGUAGCGGUGAAAUGCAUAGAUAUCGCGCAGAACUCCGAUUGCGAAGGCAGCAUGCCGGCUCCACACUGACGCUGAGGCACGAAAGCGUGGGUAUCGAACAGGAUUAGAUACCCGUGUAGUC